rnacentral:rRNA from 1 species
UACAGAGACUGCAAGCGUUAUUCGGAUUCACUGGGCGUAAAGGGUGCGCAGGCGGCCGGGUGUGUCAGAUGUGAAAUCCCGAGGCUCAACCUCGGAACUGCGUCUGAAACUACUCGGCUAGAGUACUGGAGAGGGUAACGGAAUUCACGGUGUAGCAGUGAAAUGCGCAGAUAUCGGGAAGAACACCCGUGGCGAAGGCGGCACUCUGGGACGGUACUGACGCUGAGACGCGAAAGCGUGGGGAGCGAACAGG